rnacentral:rRNA from 1 species
UACGUAGGAGACAAACGUUAUCCGGAGUUACUGGGCGUAAAGGGCGUGUAGGCGGUCUGUUAAGUCUGGCGUGAAAGCUCUCGGCUAAACCGGGAGAGGUCGUUGGAUACUGGCAGACUAGAGGACGGUAGAGGCGUGUGGAAUUCCGGGUGUAGUGGUGAAAUGCGUAGAGAUCCGGAGGAACACCAGUGGCGAAGGCGACACGCUGGGCCGUACCUGACGCUAAAGCGCGACAGCAUGGGGAGCAAACAGG